CGCCCGGUACUCUCUUAUUCCUCCUCCCUCUCUUGUUUCAUUCUUCCUCUUGUUCGUUUUUUUUAACAACGGUUGUUUAUGUUUUCGCAAAGCCACCACCACCACGCUGCCACCAGCGCACCUCCGUGUGCAACCCUGCCGCCCAGCCAUGCCUCCAGCCGUGCCCUCGUCCGCUGGCAGACCUCCUCUCUCCUCUUUACUUGGAGGAGAAUUCUCUGUAGACGAGAUUUGAAAGUGUUAAAGUGGCCUAUUAGUUGUUUAUACAAGUCUCUAAGGAUCAAUAAGCAUUGUCCAUCUGCAGGUUUGAAGAUGUUGCAUCAUUGGGAUCGGGAAUAGAGAGCUUGUAUUUAGUUUUGUUUUGCUAAGUGACUUGGUUUGUUAAUUUAGACUUGAAACUUGUCAUACAAUUUAUAUUUCCUUAUUUUCGUUAAUUGUUUUUUUGGAUUUAAUAUGUAAUUAAUUAUUUAUAAACCUAAA